rnacentral:rRNA from 1 species
UACGGAGGGUGCAAGCGUUGUCCGGAUUUAUUGGGUUUAAAGGGUGCGUAGGCGGCCUAUUAAGUCAGGGGUGAAAGACGGUAGCUUAACUAUCGCAGUGCCUUUGAUACUGAUGGGCUUGAAUGUAGUUGAGGUAGGCGGAAUGCGACAAGUAGCGGUGAAAUGCAUAGAUAUGUCACAGAACACCAAUUGCGAAGGCAGCUUACUAAAGUAUGAUUGACGCUGAGGCACGAAAGCGUGGGGAUCAAACAGG